UCAAAAGUGGGUCCACUCUGCAAGAGAUAGGAGGAAAAGAGGACAGCGGCUCCGAUCCCUCCGUCUACCGCAGUUUGGCCUCAGAUGCGCCCAUGUCCAGCAGCAAGAAGUCAGGGAGACGUCUGCGUCAAAGUCCCGAGAUGCUGCUGACUGGGAGGCUCACACAUGCCCGACGGCCUGUUUGGAGAAUGACCAGUUGAUUGGAAACACACCAAAAUGUGCCUCUAAACCCCGAAUAAUCCCAGGACACGAUUUUUUUCUUAACCCUUAAUGAAUUUACAAACAUAAGUCUGUACAGUUAGACCGUACUGUGUACUCAGCAGCACCAACAACUAAAGCCCGGACGCUGCAGAAGGCCAGACAGAUUUUCUGCAAGUUUCAGGGGCUUCCUGUGACCGG